UAGUCCAAUAUGGUCCCAUUUCUCUUAAGAUGAUUCUAUCAUGUUCCAUUCACAUAUUAGUAAAGUAUAAAUUAAUAUGUUAAAUAAAAUAAAUACCAGUACCCAAAAAUCGAGCCCCAGCGUUUGGUUCCCAUACCCCUUGGGGGACAUGGAUACUCCUAUUCUAGAUCUUUCUCUGUUGGCAUCCAGAUUCUGUCUUAUCUAUAGACCAGUAAUUUGGAGGACUAAAUCUUGCAAAAUGGAUUCCAAAGGCACAAAAGUAGCACUUAUAUAUGAUAUAUGAAAAAGGAAGUCAGCAAGUAUUUUAUUAGAAAGAGAUAUGUAAAUUGUGGAUGGCAUUUUUCUUUCUUUCAAG
rnacentral:lncRNA from 1 species